rnacentral:rRNA from 1 species
AUUGAACGCUGGCGGCAGGCUUAACACAUGCAAGUCGAGCGAGCGGCGGACGGGUGAGUAAUGUCUGGGAAACUGACUGAUGGAGGGGGAUAACUACUGGAAACGGUAGCUAAUACCGCAUACCAUCAGAUGUGCCCAGAUGGGAUUAGCUAGUAGGUGGGGUAAUGGCUCACCUAGGAGACGAUCCCUAGCUGGUCUGAGAGGAUGACGAGCCACACUGUAACUGAGACACGUUCCAGCCUCCUACGGUAUGCAGCUGUGGGGAAUAUUGCACAAUUGGCGCAAGCCUGAUGCAGCCAUUCCGCGUGGUGGAAGAAGUCCUUCGGGUUGUAAAGCACUUUCAGCGAGGAGGCGUGACUCGCAGAAGAAGCACCGGCUAACUCCGUGCCAGCAGCCGCGGUAAUAC